rnacentral:rRNA from 1 species
UACGUAGGGUGCAAGCGUUAUCCGGAAUCACUGGGCGUAAAGCGUGCGUAGGUGGCGCGUUAAGUGAGAUGUUAAAUCGUGUGGCUCAACCAUAUCGAUGCAUCUCAUACUGGCGUGCUAGAGGACGGCAGAGGCAAGUGGAAUUGGUAGUGUAGCAGUGAAAUGCGUAGAUAUUACCAGGAACACCGGUGGCGAAGGCGGGUCUCUGGGCCGAUACUGACGCUGAGGAGCGAAAGCGUGGGGAGCGAACAGG